GAACUUAACCGCUGCACCACCGGGCCGGCCCCUAAAAAUCUCCUGCUUAACCCUGGAAUACGACAUUUGGGUGAGAAUGGCCUGGCAUCUGGUGUCGCCUGACCAGCCUCAGCUGAAGCCGACUCUAGGUAUGCAGAAAGAGUCAUGCCACUGCGAAGCUCCCUCCGCUCCAGCGUGUCUUGUCUUUUCUCCUCUGGAUCUUUGCACCAGCUGUUUCCUCUCCCGAGAAUGUUCCGCCUUCUCCUGUCCACCUGCGGAAGUCAACCUGCUCUUCAGGGCCCAGAGGAAAAGCC
rnacentral:lncRNA from 1 species